rnacentral:lncRNA from 1 species
UAAGGGUAUUAAUUAUACUCCUAAUUUAAUGGUACCGUAUAUUCCUUCUAAUACUACUCCCCUCCCCCCGUUUCUCUCUCCAAGUCACACACCUUCAUCCACGUUUCCCUCCCACACCCAUGAUUUCUGUAUUAAAAUCUCAUUAUUUCUUCCAUAGCCAAGGUACUAUCGGCACCUCUACAAUCUUGUCCCAAUGUUUUUGUGCCCGGGGAAGAUGAGCACAAGCCUGGUCGAUUUGAUAGUUAUAAUUUCAGGUUCCUUCAGUAAUAUAAUAAGAGGAAAGGAAAAGAGAGCAGCAAUUCUACCAUUGACAGUCAUUAAAAACUUUUGAAGCUUUGAAUUCAAAUUUGGGUUUUCAAAAAUCAUUAUUUGUUUGGAUUGGGUGUGGUAGCAUCUUAGGAAGCUCAAAUUUAUCCAAGGACAAGGAUGAAGUUUUGGAAUCUCAAAGAGGGCCUUUAACAAGAUCUCAAGCUAAAAAGUUGUAAAACAAGAUUAUUGAACUUCAAGAACGAUCAAAGAAGUUGUUAGUUGGGGAGGAAGAGCUUAAGAUAAAGGAUAUGAGUUAUCUAGGUGUUAUAAUUAUUUUAUGACCCAAAUUCAUAUCCAAUAAGAGGUGUAUUAGAUCCCAAGAACAUCCUCUGAAGAAGGUCCAAAUCAGGCCAUGUUGGACUAAUUUAGCACCUAAAUUGUGUCAAAAUUUGCAGAUAUAAAGCCACGUUUCAAUAGCAUAAAAAGGACUUACUUGAUGUACAAGAAUGGUACAAUAGUCGCGCUAGAUGUUAAGUGCAAGUUGGUGCCAAGUUGUUUGCAGAUUUCCUUCAAGAUUUUCAAGAUUCUAUCCAAGAUUGGUUUGGGACUUAUUUCCAUAUAUUAUGGGAUUAUAUUUAUUGCUUUCCUAGUUAUUUAAGGUUAUGUUUUCCUUUUCCUAAGAUUUUUGGAAUUACUUUCCAAGAAUGACUUGGUUUUUACUUUCUAGUAUUUUUCUUUUCCUAGGGUAGUUGGACUUGUUGUCCAAAGUAGUUUAGGACUCUAUUUCCUUAUUUUUUAGAUACAAUUUCGUGACCCUUCUCUGUAUAAAGGGGUGUAUUUUGUUUUUAGACUUGGAUUAUUCAGACUAUUAUCAAAAAAAAUUAUGAGAUUUCUCUUGCACUCUUGUGUGUG